AUGGCGAGCAUGCGGGCGCCGCAGCCGCAGGCCAUCGCCAAGGUCUCCAUCUCGGCGCUGGCGAUCUCCCUGCCCAUCAUCUACCUGUCGCUGCUGCGCGUGCCGCCGUGCGCGCUCGCCAGGGACUCCACCUUCUGGUUCCUCAUGUCCCACUCCAUCAUCGCCAUCAUCGCCGCCGACUCCGGCGUGCUCUUCUUCAGCUCCGCCCCCCACCACCAGUACAACGACGACGGCCACGACAACCUCUCCGACGUCGUCGGUCUCCAGCCGGCGGCCACAGUCCAAGAGGACUACUGCGACGCGACGUCGGUGCCGCUGAUGGCACCCGAUGAGCCAAGGGCGCCGGUCGAUAUAUCCACUAGCGUCAUCGUAGGAGGUGGUGACCAGUCAUCAUGCACUGGCACGGAGGGGCAUGCGCUGGCUUUGACCAAAGGUGAAGGUGCCGCGAGCAAGCCGAAAACCGACACGGACCAUACGUCGGUUCUUCGUAAGCGUGACGACGAAGAAGAAACGCCCAAACCAGUUAGCGCCAACAAGAGCGAUGCAACGAUGGUGGAAGGCGAUCAGUGGGCAACACCACAGGCUCAGAUUACAGUAACACCUGAUGAUCAAGAUGAGGACUCCGUCCAAGAGAUGAAGCCCCGGUGCUUGGGUACAGAGGAGGCCGACAAGGUGCCGCCAUCAGAGGAGCGCGAGUAUUGGCAGCUGAGCGACGAGGAGCUCAACCGGAAGGUUGAGGAGUUCAUCACGCGGUUCAACCGAGACAUGGUCGAGCAGGAAGCAGCAGUCUGCUGA
rnacentral:rRNA from 1 species